rnacentral:tRNA from 1 species
GGCGGUGUAGCCAAGUGGUAAGGCACGGGUCUGCAAAACCCUAAUCAUCGGUUCAAAUCCGAUCACCGCCUUCG